rnacentral:rRNA from 1 species
UACGUAGGGGGCAAGCGUUGUUCGGAAUUACUGGGCGUAAAGGGCGCGUAGGCGGCCUUCUAAGUCGAACGUGAAAUCCCCGGGCUCAACCCGGGAACUGCGUCCGAUACUGGAAGGCUUGAAUUCGGGAGAGGGAUGCGGAAUUCCAGGUGUAGCGGUGAAAUGCGUAGAUAUCUGGAGGAACACCGGUGGCGAAGGCGGCAUCCUGGACCGGCAUUGACGCUGAGGCGCGAAAGCCAGGGGAGCAAACGGG